AUCGCUUCUCGGCCUUUUGGCUAAGAUCAAGUUUAGUCUUGUCUUGCCAGAAGGUUCCUGUGGUUGGUGACACAAGCUGUGUCUUCCUUGGAGGACACAGUCUGGCUGCUGCUAUUGGGGGGCAACCUGAG